rnacentral:lncRNA from 10 species
GGCCCUAGCAGAACUGACCCAAAAGGACAGCAGCUCCUGCCUUUGUGUGGGGAGUGGAGCUUAUCCCAUGGGCAACAAUGAUUGGUUCUGGGAUGGCCACACACCCUAAGCCAGUCCAAUAAGAAUGAAUCUUGGGAAUUUCUGUGGACGCCCUGAGAUUUUUACUCUUUCCUACUGAGCUCAACCCUGAAGUUAGUCAUUCUGCAGCCAUCUAGCCUUCAACAUGGAGAGAGCCACAACAUGGAGUUCAAGAAUGGCAGAGCUGAGAGACCAAGAGAAAAUGAGUCCUGGUGGUACUCUCAGCCCUGGAGCAAUCUAGACCUGAAGCCAGAAAAAUACUCCUGACUUUUCCAGUGCUUG